rnacentral:lncRNA from 1 species
UAGUUAAAUCUUCUGGCACACAGUUAAGUAAGAUUUAACUGUGUGCUAGGCUGGAUUAAGUGUUUAAAUAUUGACUAACUGUGUGCCAAGUUUAUUUAAAUAUAUGCCAUACUAUAUUACAUAUAUACCAAGCUUACUAACCUAACUGCCACUCACUAAUCAUUUUUCUUUUCUUCCUUUUUCUUUUCUUUUCUUCUUUUUCUUUCCUUCUCUUCUUUUUCUUUCCUUUUUUUCUUUUUUCUUUUUCUUUCCUUUUCUUCCUUUUCUUUCUUUCUUUUCUUUUCUUUUUCUUCUAUUCUUCUCCUCCCUUCUUAUUUAUUUAUUUUU